UGGAUGAUGUGGAUUAAUUCGAUGCAACGCGAAAAACCUUACCUACCCUUGACAUGUCAGGAAUCCUGGAGAGAUCUGGGAGUGCUCGCAAGAGAACCUGAACACAGGUGCUGCAUGGCUGUCGUCAGCUCGUGUCGUGAGAUGUUGGGUUAAGUCCCGCAACGAGCGCAACCCUUGUCAUUAAUUGCCAUCAUUCAGUUGGGCACUUUAAUGAGACUGCCGGUGACAAACCGGAGGAAGGUGGGGAUGACGUCAAGUCCUCAUGGCCCUUAUGGGUAGGGCUUCACACGUCAUACAAUGGUCGGUUCAGAGGGUUGCCAACCCGCGAGGGGGAGCCAAUCUCAGAAAGCCGAUCGUAGUCCGGAUCGCAGUCUGCAACUCGACUGCGUGAAGUCGGAAUCGCUAGUAAUCGCGGAUCAGCAUGUCGCGGUGAAUACGUUCCCGGGUCUUGUACACACC
rnacentral:rRNA from 1 species